AGGCGCAAUGGCCUAGUGGUUAGGGCAGCGGACUCGCGGUCAUAGGAUUGCGGUUUCGAUUCCCCGACCGGGCGUUGUGAGUGUUUAUUGAAAGAAAACACCUAAAUCUCCGCGGAGCACCGGCAGGGUAUGGUGGCGAGCCCUGCUGUACUCUUUCACUAAAACUUUCUCUCACUCUUUCUUCCUGUU